rnacentral:lncRNA from 1 species
AAAUAAAAAAUAGUUUACAAACAUGUCAAAUUAUUUAUAUAAACUUUUCUAGUCUUGCAACUAUUUCACAUAAAUGAAUUUAAACAUGCACUAAGAAAACAACUUCCAAGCCAUCUAUUCACUAAUUGAAACUGUGUAAAUUUCUAUGGGAGGAUAAUGGUGGAUUAUGAGGAUCUUUUAAUCCUAUAAUAAUAAAAAAAAU